rnacentral:tRNA from 1 species
AAGGGAGACCUAAUUCAGGUAGGAGACGAAAAAAAGUAGUCGCUACCAAGAAUCAAUCCCAAAAGGUCGGAGCGAGGCGAAAUUGGCUUUCAAACUAGGUUCUGGGUUCAAACAAGACCUGAAUCAGGAACAAGGGCUAUUAGCUCAGGUGGUUAGAGCGCACCCCUGAUAAGGGUGAGGUCCCUGGUUCGAGUCCAGGAUGGCCCACCUGUACAGGUGGCAAAAAGAAAGAAAAGAAGCGAGGAAUCAGCACCUUAUCUUACUUAUAUAGUAAGAGAGAAUGCUGGCUCUGAGUAAAGAGUCCAGAGGAACCUUGAAAACUGCAUAGAGCUAGGUGAAAAAGCCAAAAAAGAAGACCGCAA